rnacentral:lncRNA from 1 species
UCUCGUUAGGUUUUUUACCUCUGAGGGGUAUCUAUUCCCCAGCCCUUUGGGGUAUUUAUUUUUUCUUCUCCCAUCUGGUCUGGAAAGACGUAAGAGGACUGCUCUCAGUGGAUAACGGCGUACCCUCUGACAAGAGUGGUAUCGCGUAUAUCUUUUAGGGGUCACCCCUUGGCUAAAUAAUGUCGUGACUAUAGAUAUCUAAUAGGGCCACUAUGGUUGGUAUAGGCGUGGUCGUAGAUCGUACCAUGAUUUGGCUAGCUAAAAAUGGGUAUGAGCAAAUUGUCAUAUCUAUAUCUAAUCUGGUCAUUCCAUUUGGGUAGUUAGAAAUUUGUACCUGCCUUCAGAGAUGGAAGUCGUAAUGACUUC